GAUGAAGGUUUCUACAAGUGUCAGUACUCAGGAAAAGAGUCACCAUCGCGUUACAUGACGGUUAAAUCUACUGUACCACCUGAAACCUUCAGCCAGAGUGAAAGUAGUGAAAACAGCCCCCUUCAUCCUGGUAGUGCCGCUGUCUAUGAAUCAGCAAACAAAAAUGGAAGACACUGGAAAUGGUCAGUGAGAAGAGCCGUAGCUGCGAAGCAAAAAAGAAUCCUUUUGUGAACCCACUGUUGCUCCUCUGCUACACAAACAUCAGUGACGCUUCAGAUUUUCCACAGUUAGUUUGUUUGAAGAUAGCACAUUAAAUACAGACCUCAUACUCUAUACACUAUUAU